GCGCUUUUAGCUCAGUUGGUAGAGCACCUGACUCUUAAUCAGGGUGCCCAGGGUUCGAGUCCCUGAAGGCGCA
rfam:Clostridium pasteurianum BC1, complete genome.